rnacentral:lncRNA from 1 species
CAAAUAAAUAUAGAAAAGAAGUUUGGUGUGAUUUUCGAUGAGAUUCUUUCACAAGAGACCUUAUAACACAAAUUAACAGCUAUAAAUUUUCAAACAGCCUUCAUAAAAAAAAAAAAACCAUAGCCCCUACCACAGUCAGCUACAAUAGGCCUUGAAAUAAGAAAUGUAAACAAUACAAACGAAAAAAGGAACGACCUGAUUAAUGUACCCAAAAAGAAACGAAAAAUCAAUCAUGCAACACAGCAACAACCAUUGAAUUACAGGCAGAUACUUACUGAAUGUGACAGGGAUAUGUUUGAUAAAUAUUGGUAACUCUAUACAAUUUAAAUACGUGGCCAAUGAAACAACAACACCAGACGAAAUGAAUAACCACCUGCAAAAAAUAGUGACCAC